CAUCCCAACGGUUGUCGAUGGGUGUGAAUCUAGUGUUUCACAUGAUUUUCGAUAGCCUGUGACUAGAUCCACACUCAUUAACAAAAGUUGCCG
rnacentral:pre_miRNA from 11 species